GAUGAACGCUGGCGGCGUGCCUAAUACAUGCAAGUCGAGCGAACAGACGAGGAGCUUGCUCCUCUGACGUUAGCGGCGGACGGGUGAGUAACACGUGGAUAACCUACCUAUAAGACUGGGAUAACUUCGGGAAACCGGAGCUAAUACCGGAUAAUAUAUUGAACCGCAUGGUUCAAUAGUGAAAGACGGUUUUGCUGUCACUUAUAGAUGGAUCCGCGCCGCAUUAGCUAGUUGGUAAGGUAACGGCUUACCAAGGCAACGAUGCGUAUCCGACCUGAGAGGGUGGUCGGCCACACUGGAACUGAGACACGGUCCAGACUCCUACGGAGGGCAGAAGUAGGGACUCUUCCGCAAUGGGCGAAAGCUUGACGGAGCAACGCCGCGUGAGUGAUGACGGUCUUCGGAUCGUAAAACUCUGUUAUUAGGGAAGAACAAAUGUGUAAGUAACUAUGCACGUAUUGACGGUACCUAAUCAGAAAGCAACGGCUAACUACGUG
rnacentral:rRNA from 1 species